UUUGAAUGAGUGCAUUUAAAAUGUUUAUCAUGUUCUUUAGCUGCUCUUGAAUAAUCUAGUCUAUCACGUAAUCCCCUUAUGUCCUCCUAAAAACCUUACAGAUUCCCACAAGGUACCUUCCACAAUGAUCGCCGUUCGGAUUACUGCACGUGAUCACCGAUCUAUCCGCAAUUAUAAUUCUGGCAUACUCAGUAGUCAGUAAUCGUCGUAACCUCCGGAAAAUUAAAUUAAGCAGCAAUACCUCGUAUACCUUCUUACCCUCCUUGUUCCUAUCCAACUCGAGGUCAUUAGUCAAUAAAAUCGAUGAGCUGUCUGGAACUGUUUCUUCACUUUCUUUGGAUAUUGUGGUCAUUA